UCUUGUUAAUGGAGAAUGUUGUGCAAAACCUAUAACUCUAUGCAAGGAUGAAUAGAGCAUCCACACUAAAUGGAAAACAAAAAUGCACAUCAAGAAAAAAUAAGUUGGCAAGUGAGAGGUCAUAAUGUUUAUUGUUGUUCACAAUUAUGAGCUAAUCUAAAACUUGUUUCCCUUGAUCACAUAAAAAAAUUACUACAGCAAAUAAGAAAUUAUAAGAAUUUUAUAUGAGCAAAAUAUUUCUAUUCGUAGAUGCUUG
rnacentral:lncRNA from 1 species